GUGUGGCUCUCCUCUGGCAUG
rnacentral:miRNA from 1 species